GGUUAUUAGAUUAUCUGUCUCACUAUAUGCUGACAGUAGUACAUGAACGUUUCACCAAAUAUGACUGUUGCUAUGAUGUUUCUGUAACAUUAUUGGAAUAACAGAAAUACAAUCCACAGUUUGGAUGCUCGAACUGUGAGGUUAUCUAAGGUUUACUGCAUUAUUGAUUCUCUGUGGCCGGCUGUAGGGGGAGUAUCCCGGGCUGGGGGGGAGUGACCAACCCGGGAUUUCCAAAAAUAAAAAAAGGCAACGACGUCAGAGAGAGAGAGAAAAAAGAGAGAGAGAGAGCGCACCGCAGUAAAGUAGUCGGAAUAUCCCUCCAGUGUGUCAACAGAGUCGGAGCAGGCAGUAGUGAAGUCUGCUGUAUCUCACUCUCUCAUCACUUUGCCAAAACCCUGUAUUAAAGAUCUCCUUUCGGGCGCUGGUGCUCUUGUUUACCGCUGAAAAGCACUAAUAUCUCAGAGUGGUAACGAAUCAAAAGCAGCAGUAGCAGCAUGAACCGGUCCGCGCAUCAGGAGAGCCGGCAGCCGCACAGUCUGGCUGCAACGAAACGCCGCGUGGGGGCCGGGACCAUGGACAGCGGCGCAGGGUCGGGCUCCUCGCACUACAAAACAACCCGUAGCAAGCGACACCUGGAGGGGGUCCUGAAGAAAUACACCAACCUGCUCCAGGGCUGGCAGAGCAGUGAGAGAUACGGGUGUGGGAGUCCCAGAAACACAGAAUGAGUCAUCCAGGAUCAGGAAAUCCCUGCACUCCUCUUCUGCAUCUCAAUACUCCCUCCCCCUCUUCACUCUCUCUUUGGCCACUUACCCUCUCCCUCUCUGUCCCAGUGGAUCAAUAGGAAAAGCAUCCAAAUGUGUAAUGAGUUCCAUGAUCACAUUUUGACCGUGUGGUGUACUUAACUUCCUCACAAACACACACCCACACACACACUGCUGUACUUGACUCAGUGCACUCAGAAACACAAGUGAAACUAGAGUUUGAGUGUGUGUGUGUGUGUGUGUGUGUGUGUGUGUGUGUGUGUGUGUGUGUGUGUGUGUGGGUGGGUGUGUGUGGGUGUGUGUGCAUCAGCAGGUUGCAGCUAACUGGGGAUGGGCACUCCACUGGCCAGAGGUAUGGUGCCAUGAUGUGUAGUAACUGUGAAGAAUGGAGAUAUAUAUAUGUCCUCAGGUCCACUAGGGGCGCAAUGAGAAAGUUGUGACCUGUUUGGGAAUUCAAUAGAUGGGUAGAACAAGAGUCAAGUCCUGUGUACUAUCCGAGAUGGUGUGAUUGAGCUAUGCACUGUGUUCGUCAGGAACAAAUAAACUUCCCAUGUUCGGCAAGAAGUUAGCUAGCUAAUGUUAGCAAAACACUAGCUAACUUUUUGCAAAUUAUCAAAAUAAUCAGUUUUGCCUUAUAAAAAUACCAUAUGAAUGCUGUAAAAAAUACCAUGAGAUAUGACAGAGGUGUUCUGUAAAAUAAAAAAAAGACUAUUCCAUAUGAAUUCCUUCAAAAUUCUGUAUAAAUAAAGAUUUUGCCGUGAGAUGUGACAGUGUCCUCUAGGACUGCCUUCUUUCAUUUACGUAAUAUUACAAAAAUUAGACACAUCCUGUCACAGACGGAUGCAGAAAAACUAAUCCAUGCAUUUGUUACUUCUAGGCUGGAUUACUGCAACUCUUUAUUAUCAGGCUGCCCCAAUAAAUGCUGCAGCACGAGUACUGACAGGAACUAGAAAAAGAGAUCACAUCUCUCCUGUACUAGCUUCUCUGCACUGGCUCCCUGUAAAAUUUAGAAUAUAAUUUAAAAUCCUCCUCUUGACCUACAAAGCUCUUCAUGGUCAGGCCCCUUCAUGUCUUAAAGAGCUCAUAGCACCCUAUUACCCCUCUAGAACACUGCAUUCUCUGAAUGCUGGGCUACUUGUGGUUCCUAUAGUCUCUAAAAGUAGAACAGGAGCCAGAGCCUUCAGUUACCAAGCUCCUCUCCUGUGGAACCAGCUUCCAGUUGUGGUUCGGGAGGCAGACACACUCUCCACAUUUAAGAGUAGGCUUAAAACGUUCCUCUUUGAUAGAGCUUAUAGUUAGGGCUGGAUCAGGUGAGUCCUGAACCAUCCCUUAGUUAUGCUGCUAAAGGCCUAGACUAUCGGGGGAUUUCGCAUGAUGCACUGAGCUCCUCUCUUCCUCUCUCUCUCUUUCUGCACUCAUUCACGUCCCAUUAAUGCAUGUUACUAACUUCACUUCUUCCCCGGAGUUCUUUUGCUUUCUUGUCUUGCAGGUUCUAAUGGAUCCUGGUGGAGCCUCCGGCCAUGGUCCUGCUUGACUGCCAUUGCUAAUAUCACUGAUAUUAUUGUUAUUAUUAUUACUACAGUUACUAUUAUUACUAUUGUCACUAUCAUUGUCCCCUAUCGUUUCUGUUGUCGUUGUCAUUGUCUUCUUCAUGUUCAUCAUCAUCAGUCACUACUAUUGGUGUAGUUGUUGCUACUGUUGUUGCUGUGCACCUGUCUGUCUGUCUGUCUGUCUGUCUGUCUGUCUGUCUGUCUGUCUGUCUGUCUGUCUGCGUCUGUCUCUGUCUCUCUCUCUGUCUCUGUCUCUGUCUCUGUCUCUCUCUCACCCCAACUGGUCGAGGCAGACGACCACCCACCUAGAGCCGAAGGGUCUGUCCUAGGUUUCUGCCUCUUAACAGGCAGUUUUUCCUUGCCCCCGUCGCCAAUUGCUUGCUCAUGGUGGUACUGUUGGGUCUCUGUAAAUGUUAUAAGGAGUUCGGUCUAGACCUGCUCUAUUUGAAAUGUGUCCUGAGAUAACUUCUGUUAUGAAUUGGCGCUAUACAAAUAAAAUUGAAUUGAAUUGUUUUGCUGUCAUAGAAACAGUAUUUUUUUUUUUUAAAGUAAAGUUUUUGGGCUUUUUUUUAUUGCCUUUAUUUUAGUGACAGCUGAAGAUAGACAAGAAAGGGGGUCAGAGAGAGACGGGGUGACAUGCAGCAAAGUGCUGCAGGUAGGUCGGAUUUGAACCCUGGGCAGCUGCAGCAAGGAUUCAGCCUCGGUACAUGUGUCGCCAGCUCUACCCACUGAGCUAUCCGGGCGCCCCAUUGAAACAGUAUUUAACCUAUUUAGAGUUUACAGUCUUUUACUGUCAUGGUUUGACAGUUUUUUACAGGAGUACGGUCUAGAACUGCUCUAUUUGAAAAGUGUCCGGAGAUAACCUUUGUUAUAAUUUGGUGUUAUACAAAUAAAAUUUAACUGAAUUACAUCUGAAAGCUAAAGCUUAAUGGACCUGUACUUGUAUUGCGCCUUUCUAGAUUUCCGACCACUCAAUGUGCCACAUUCGCCCUUUCACACACAUUCACACAGUGAUGGCAAACUCCACCGAACAGAAAAUAACUUAUUAGUACACAUUCACACACAAGAGUAGAAUUGUAUUCUCACUGAUCAUUAAGGCUAGCUAUUUUUUUUAUAUUGGAUAAAUUGUAUUUUGAUGUUAGAGGACACUGAGAAAAAUAUGUUUUCCCAAUCACAGACCAGUAAGUUAAAGUUUCUAUAGGCUAUGUAACUUUCAGAUAACCAUUGUUAAUAAUGUCAACUGUCUCCUUAUUUCUCUGUCACUUCUCUCAUCUGUAGAUACUUUGUACUGGACCCAGAGCUUGG
rnacentral:lncRNA from 1 species